AUUGAACGCUGGCGGCAGGCUUAACACAUGCAAGUCGAACGGUAACAUAAAGGAGCUUGCUUCUUUGAUGACGAGUGGCGGACGGGUGAGCAAUGCUUGGGAAUCUAGCUUAUGGAGGGGGAUAACUACGGGAAACUGUAGCUAAUACCGCGUAGAAUCGAGAGAUGAAAGUGUGGGACCUUCGGGCCACAUGCCAUAGGAUGAGCCCAAGUGGGAUUAGGUAGUUGGUGAGGUAAAGGCUCACCAAGCCGACGAUCUCUAGCUGGUCUGAGAGGAUGACCAGCCACACUGGGACUGAGACACGGCCCAGACUCCUACGGGAGGCAGCAGUGGGGAAUAUUGCGCAAUGGGGGCAACCCUGACGCAGCCAUGCCGCGUGAAUGAAGAAGGCCUUCGGGUUGUAAAGUUCUUUCGGUAGCGAGGAAGGCAUUUAGUUUAAUAGACUAGAUGAUUGACGUAACUACAGAAGAGCACCGCA
rnacentral:rRNA from 1 species